rnacentral:lncRNA from 1 species
GUUCUUGCUAACAGUUUGCGAUAUUUCUUGAGGCGACCAUCGACCGAGGAGGGAAGUUUUUGAGCCAUGCUAGAAAAUGACCCGAUUCAUGAUCAUAUACUCGACGAAGAUUAUAAUUUAAUCUCCACAGGGGAAAUGUAGAAAACAAUUGUCACAUUAAUCUGCAUAUAGCUAUCACACUGGUCGCACUUAAACUAUGGACAAAGAAUCAUUAGUCUUACCACCGUGUCACUGUCUCUUUAAGGAAAACAAUAUAUGUAUAAUGUAUGGGGUUUUGUUGCGAAGAUCACUGAAAGCAGAUGGCAGUUCAGUUACAAGAACAUGUAAAGCAAAGCCUAGCCGCGACGCCAUGGAUCACCUUUAUUGUGAAGAAGUAACUGAUACCUCGGAUUCCCAUGAACAGUUUAGCUGAACUGAAUAAACCGAAAUGUCUGUACUGAAUUAAGUUGGUUUGAUUCGGUUUGAACCUAUAUCCGCUCAACCACUACAGAUUAGGGCUAGCAAGGUCAUAGAGCAAUGCAGGGAAGGCAUUGCUUUUCUUUCGCAAGUCUAAGACCCAACAAUAAAAUCAUGGUGGUUUUGUUUAUAGUUUUCAAAUCCAGCUAGGCUUACUAAGUAGAUAUUUAGAAUUGUGGUAAUAAUUGUGAUUUAAAAUAUUUUUUUAUUUAAAAAUAUAUUAAAAUAAUAUAUUUUUAUUUAAAAAAAAUUAUUUUGAUAUCAACACAUUAAAAUAAUAUAAAAAUAUAAAAAAAAUUCAAGAAAUACAAUUUGUAUCGUGUUCCAAAUAUACUUUAAGACGACUUAGUAACUUAAUGAACUGGGACCUGGUAAGGCCGAGUUUGUUUUUAAAUUUCUAGGGAGUUAACUUGACUUAAAUGACCUAGUUAAAACUUAAAAUCGUUUAACUAUUUUAUAUUAAUUUUUGUUUUAAAAAUUAUCAUUUUAGUUUUUAAGUUAUUAGUUUUUUUUCUUAAAUAAAUUAGUUCAAAACAAUAUCAUUUUAUUGAAAAAUACAAUAAACCCCUUAGGUCAAUUUACAAACUUGCAGGUUGACUCACCCUUACUUACAACCCUAAUCGUUGGACCGUCAUUGGACCGGGUCACGACCCAAAUGUUCUUGUAAAUAUGGUUAUGAGUUAUGACAAAUUAUCCUUGCUGUAACAGUAUUUGUGUCCGAACCAAGUGGGGUUCAGAUUGUCACGACCUGUCAAUGGGUUUGGUCAGAAGAGCCGGAAGGUGGUAUUCUUUAUGGGUGCGGGCCAGGAUAUGAAAGACCAAGCAGCCAUAUGUGGAUAAAAAUGGUCCCCAAAAGCUACCAAUCUUUCAGGCAUGGGUAAAGCUUGCAUGAUGGCUUCUUUGGACAUGACAGUGUUCUGAUUUCGAAUAAUUUUGUGAGAUUUUCUUUUAUUUUACAUUCAAUCCAAUUAUAUGAUUGGUUUACUCGUAGUGAAUUUUUUUUUCCAGUAAAAAAAAAACUAUUGAUUAUGAAAUUGUGCGAUAUGGAUACAAGGCCAACUGAUCAUGAAUGAUUGCUUGAGGAACAGUCAUCUCUUUCAAUAUCUAGAGGCUUAGCAGUUGAAACAGACAAUGACGUAUGUGAAAUGGUCCCAAACAAAAUCUCCAUAGAAAUGAGAGAUAUGGAUGACACCCCCCCAUGCCUUCUUGCUCUGAAUAUAUAAUGUUCCUUUGCCUUAUGUAUGAUGCACGAACCAUCCACAUUGUUUGGAGCUUGGCAAAGACAGAGAGAUGUCUUCUGGGACGUUUGCUAGAGGUGCACACACCAUGAAUUCCAUGUUUUUCAAGUAAGGCCUCCACCUUUCUUUCUUUCCUUUUUCUUUUCAAAGCUCGUAAUGUAUAUUGAACCGGCCGGUUCGAUAGUUUGAGUCGAUCGUAAAUCAGAUCCAUGUAAUAAGUGCUUGUAUGUAGCUAUAACUUAUGGCUAGAUCAUUAAUGUUUUGGUCAGAUUCUUAAUGAUCAGUAUUACUACUUCUUUGUGAAAACAUAUUUAGGCCAAUGAUUCGAAAAACCUACCACAAGAAAAGUUCUGCUGGCACAAUACGUGAGACAAUGAAGGUGGAUGCUGAGGAAGUGAGGAACAAUAAGAGCCACGUGGGAGAGACUGAUAGCAGUUGUUGGGUUCCACAUGAGAGGACUGGAAUUUAUUAUCCAAAGGGCCAAGAGAAGGUGGUGGACGGCAUACCUCCAGCAGCCGGAAAGGAUGUUGAUGUGGUCAAUUGGUUUUAACACCAUGGGGAAUAUUGAGCAUAUUUUAUUGUUCUAAUAUUUAAAGCUUAUAUAUGAAACCCGAUUCUUGUAUUCGGAUUGAAAUCCAAAUGUAAUUGAAUCUGUGCUUACAUUCUAAGAAAAUCACAGAGAAUGUGUGCUUAGCAUUAUGAAAAAAUUGAGAGAAGUGCUUUAACCAUUCUAUAUUUAUAAUUACUAUUUUAACAUUUACAAAAUGAUGCACCCCACAGUCAUCAUAAUGAGACAAAGACAGAGAAGUUUGUCUUUGGGUCAUUUUAGAGAGAAUUCUGCACUGGGAGACACGUUCUUAUUGUUCCCAUCUAAACGCUACCAAAACUAUUCACAACUUCAGCAAACACGGCCCGGCAUGGUAUAUAUAGCUUCAAUAAAUAACUCAUUUCAAUACUUGUAUUGCGAAUUUGUACCAUCAAGUUCUUGUUAAAAAAAAAAAACUGCAGAAGCGUAGAGAGGCAUUGUUGAAGAGGAAUACUUACUGUGAGAGUUAUUGCUCAGGCAUCGAACCUUUUCUAACUCAGGAGGCUAGGAAUUGUACCUUUCUAUCUGUAGAUUACAGAUUUUGGUGUUGCAGAGCUAGAGAGAAACAUUUUGGCUACUAUACUGGCUAUGUCAGUGAGCUUGUUUUCCUUGUUUUGGACUUGCGUUGGAGAGCAUUAACUGAUGAAAUGUUCUUCACAAAAACGUUCUAUACAUGUGAAAAGGGUCCCCGUUUAUGCCUGGGAGAGCUCUAACAUCUGUUUUCUGGGGAAUAGUUGCUGAUCGCUAUGGUGGAAAACUACGUUGUUAGUAACCUCUACAUUUCAAGUCAUGUUGUUGCCAUUAUCUUAGGAUUUUCUAUUUCAAGAAUCUCAUUUUUCCUUCUUCUUGAUUACUGACUGGUCUCAGGGUCAUUUUCAAAACACUCCUCGGCCUUGGUGUAAAUUACACAGAGCAUGGUUUCCACAUCACUCAAACGCCAUGAUCAUAUAUGCAAGCAUGUAUAUGGGCCACCCAUUGAAACCUUCUGGGCCUCCAUUUCCAUUAUAGAUCAUUAUUAAAAAGGGCUCAGGAAAGUGCUCUAAACUACACAGAGCUUGGUUACGUUGAUGUUUCUAUUCUCUGUUAGUGCUAAAUAUUCAAGCAUACAUAUGAUAAACAUUAAUAAUGAUUUACUGCGCGGAUUUCAUUUCAUGAGCUUGCAUAUCAGCAUUUUACAAUUUUCAGGUCAAAAGUGGGCCAUGGUGACCUUUAAAACUUGAGAGAGACCACCAAGAUCUUGGGCCUUUUUUCAAGUCUUGCGGGCCUCCAUUUUGGACGAAUUAAAAAAACCCAAUACACCUAUUUAACCCAUUCAAGUAACAAGCUUAAAUGCAAGUGACAAUCAGCACAAUAAAAAGGUUUAUAUCAAUCCUAACAGAACUUGACAAAUUCAAAACAACAAGUGUUUUAUUAAAUCUAAAACUUAUAUCAGCUUUUACAUCAGCAGAUUCAACAUCAGCAGCUUCUGAGGCAUCAAUUCAACAAAGUUCCUUGUCCCCAAGACUCGGUUGUUUUCUUGGCAUGCAAUCUACAGAGAAAAAAACAAAACUUCCACCAUUACAAGAAAUUCCAUGUCAAGAAUAAUAAAAAAAUCAUUCCCAUUUGCAUCUAAUCCGGUGAGCGUGCCGGAAUUCCCAGGUCAGAACCAGUGUUUUAUCAUGUCUCCUCAGUAUAUACCUCUCCACCAACAUAUAGCACCCAAAUUCCUUCCAUUCCUUUGCUUCUCCUUCAAAUCUCUCCACUCCCUUCACCUUGUCUUUCCCUCUAACCCAACCGAAGCUUUCUUGAUCCCUAAUGAUCUUCUCAAUGAUUACUCUGUCCAAACCAACAGAUGGUGCUGCUUCUCCCUCCUUGUCUAACCCCUCAAACCAUUUUAUCCUAUCAAUGACCUUUGCAUUUUGACAAUUCUCCAUCCCAAAGACAUAAACCACUUCAGUUUCACAUCUACAUCAAUGCAAUAGAAUACGAGAAUCACCCGCGCGGUACUAUUAUCAUUACAAUUGCUGCAAGAGAAAAUCCUGACCCAUUGUUGUUUAAGAGUCAUUUCAUAGAACCUUGACAUUGUCACCUGAGUUGGCAAUGCCACGUUGUUUUCCUUGAUAAACAUGAAAGGGCAAUACCAUUUACCAACGACAACAGCAUCAGAACUCCCACGAGACAAAGGGAAAUCGAAUUCCGGAAGGCAUCCUCGCAGCGAAUGGUCAAGGCCAGAAACAUCAUCUAACUGGAACUUACUCCUCUUUAUUUCAGAAGACAUACGGUGAAGGCUUUGUAAGCGUUUAGGAUCAUGACCAUCCGAGGCAAGAGACUUGAACCGAAAACCAGAGCCCCCUCUUGUAAUGUAGAACUGUUGAUGUUUAUUGGAAGCAUCUAAUGGUUUUGGUCCAACGUCGUGAACAACUUCGCAGGAAAAACAGAACUUAUACCCGCUCUUCGCCCCACAAGAUGUGUAAGCAAGCCUACAGAAUUAAUUAAGCCAAAUUAGUGACUUGUUUAUAUUUUUCUGAAUAACUAAUCAAACCCAUCAUGAUUCAAUAUUUAAGACAAAAACAAGAUUCUACACAUAAGCUAGCUAAAGGGGUUAGAAUAGGUUCGGUGCCUUAUCAUAAUUAUAUAUAUGUGCCUUGAUAAAAAGAAAGAAAUUUGCCUACCCUCUUUGGCAUCCAAAACCCGAAUUUAGGAUGUAGUAAACACCAGCGGAUAAUGGCUUGUUUAUAACUGGGAUGGGCUGAAUAUAGAUCCAGGAAUUCAUAUUACGUGCUUCCAGUACGGUGUUUUGCGGGAGUGGCAAGCCUGUAGUGAUGUCAAACGACAGACAGGAUCCAAAAAUAGGGCAUCUAAACCCAAAACAGUGUUUAAAAUCGUUUUCAAUAUCUUGAAUGACCAAGAUACCGGUAUCCGGACCAUCUGGGGGAGGCAGUGAAAGAGCUGACCGGUCUUUCUGAUACAUGGACAGCCGCCUUGUCACGUACAUCCUGUAGAUUCACGAUCAGUUAAUAUGUGCUUCUUUCAAAAUAAGAAGAAAUAUUAGAAAGAGCAAUGUUAAGGAAGAAUCCAAGUUUUUUUCUUUUAAAAUAUUUAAAUAUAAUAGGAAGAAGAGGGUAUGUAUAGUGUACAUGGUUCAGCCUGUCUAUCUCCGUUUUGAAUAUUGGAUUGGCAUAAGAAACAAACCAAGAGAUAGAGUUUAAAUUGGCUUUUGAUUAUCUAUAAAUAAAUCAUUAAUCAUUAUCAACAUUUGAUUUGAAACCUUUAGUCUUGGAAUUAUCCGUUUACUAAUCUUUCUUUCUUACUAAUUAACAAAGACCCCCUAAAUUUUAUUGUAAAUCGCGUCAUUAUUAAUCAUAAAUUAAACAUUAUAUAUCAUAUAUUAUAUUAUACUGAGAAAAUAAAACAAUAUGUUGUUUUGUAGUUAAGAAAACAUUGAUCACAAACUCUUAAUAAACUCAUAAAAUAUAUAUUCUUAUUUUAAAAAAAAGAUCAAUAAAAAAGAAUCAAGCCUUUUAUAUAUAUAAAUAUAAUACAAAAAAAAAGAUUAUAUAUAUUCUUAUUAGCUUAAAGUGCGCUUGGUUCAACUCGUCUCAAUAUUAUGUUUUGGUUAGAAUACUGGCCUGAUAAAUAAGGAAGAACCCGAGUCUUUUAUUUCAAAAAUAUAUAAAUAUAAGAGGAGGAGGAAGAGUGUGGAGUGUAUAUAUAGCUAGUGUGCGUGCAUGUUUCAGUUUAUCUAAAUAUUAUUCUGUUUUGAUUGGAUUGGUUUAAGAAAUAAGAAUAGAAUUUAAAUUUGUUGAUUAUCAAUAAAUAAAUAAAGCAUUAAUUGCCCGUCUCUUAUUUUGACAUUUUCUUACUUUUUAUAUAGGAAUUUAAUUAGAAUUAAUUUCUUGAAUAUUGGGUUCCUACUUAAUUUUCCUGUAUAAUUUGAGUGAAGCCGGAAAAUAUUUUGUUAAAAAUAAAAGCCCAAGAACCAGGGCCUCUAUAUAUAUCUUCUUUUUUUUAUAGCAACAUGUCGCUUAUUGUUAUUGAUUUGAGCCUUCAAGUGAUCGAAAAAUCAGACAACCGUUUUCUAGGGAUACAAACCCAUUUUGACCCAUUUUCUUAGCCAAAAUACCCUAUGAACAUAAUGACUUCAAAAAAUCCAUUUUUGGCAUUAAGUCAAAAUUUAAACAGUUAUAAACAAAAACCAAACUCGAUUCAAAAAUAAAUUCCACACCCAAAUCUAAUUUUUUGGACAAAAUAAAUUAAAAAAAACCUGAAUAAAUUUUUUUAUUGUCAAAUAAAACCUAAUGACAACAAAAAUAACAAGUCUAGUCACCAAAAAAAGUAAACGUUUAUAAACUUUCUCUCCUCUCCACCAUAAUUCAAUAACUCUCUCUUCUUUUCCUCUUUUCUCUCAAGUCCAGAGACCAUUCAUGAAAAAAAUUAAGUUUUGGACUAAAAUGUAAAACCCUUAUAAAAAAGGGAUUAUAUUUGAAAAAAAAACUAGGAAAAAAGACUUUGAGGGACUAAAAAUGCUAAAAGCACGCCUUAACUACAAUAUAUAUAAAAAAAACAGUCUAGAACUUUGUUCAAUUAACAAAUCUGGUCCUUGGAUUUUCAAUUGUGCCCAAUCAAGAAAAUUGAACUUGAAUUUUCCAAACCAUGUAUAUCAAUUUAAUGAAAAAAACCUUCUUUGAACAUCAUGAAAAAUUAGUGCAAAGUUAAUCAGGACAAAAAAAGCUCAUGACAAUAAUUUUGCGCUUGGAUGAACAGUAAAAUCUGCAACUAUUCCAGUUAUUUUAUAUAUAUAUAUAUAUAUAUAUAUAUAUAUAUAUAUAAUUAGAAUUGUGAUUGUGAUGGGUAAAGUAGCAUUUUUAUGACCAAUACUGAAGCAAAUAAUAUAUAUGCACACACGGUUUUCCAUUUUGGAAAUUAUCAAUGCACGAUCGUAGUAGGCUUUCAAAACAUACAAGGUUUGCUCCUUUUAAAAAAAUAUAAUCUAAAACAGUAUUAUUUUGUAAAAAGGCAAGAAAAUAUAAAGGAGAAAGAACAGGUUGUCUCUUGACCGAACUCCAGAUUAAAAGGCCACCUAAUUGAUAUACCGGGCCAAGCUGAGUGAGGUCCAGAUCCUCUGGCUAUAGUUUUACGGUGACGAACAAACAUAAAAUUAAACAUAUCAUUAAAAAAAAACAGAGAGGUGGACUAACAAAUCUUUGUACGGUGCCUUGCAGAUCAGAUCUGUAACAAAUCCCUGCAAUUACAUGCCAAAAAGUUGUAACGCUCAAAAAGCAAACCUGUACGCCGUGUGAGGUGGACUAAUGUGAGGUGGACUAACACCGUACGCAAUGGCAGCGCUCGCCACCCCACCACGUACGUACGAUACGAGAUUUAUUUGUGCUGGGAUCCCAGCGCAAAGUUCACAAAAGAAUCAGCCUUUAUUGUUAAAGUGAUUUUUCCCCUCUGCGCCAAACGUUCUAUAAAUAGUCUUUCGGAAUAAUGCCUAUCAUUUCUCCUAUAUUAUUUUUUACUUGCCUUUUCUUCUAUAACUGGUCAUUCAGAAUACUUAUUUGCGUGCUGAUCAUUUCCCUUGCUUUUUUUUUUUUUUUUAACUUGUGUCUCUUUAAAAUUCAGUUCAUACUUACUUCUUGGUUUAUUUCUUUAAGUUUAAAUCCUUUUUUUUCUUCAAUCUAAAAUGUUUCAUUAUUAUAUUUAUGUUUUUUUUGCGUGUUUUUUCUUAACAACUUCUUUUAUUUUAAUUGCUUUAAGUGAUGUAGUUAAACAUCACGGUAUCGUUGCUCUUGCUUUUGUUAUCGCAAUUGAAACCAUGAUUUGGGUAAUUAGUCUUUUAAGUUCAGUUAUGAUUAGCAUAGUUAAUCAAUCAUCUUAUAACGAGAAAAAAACUUUUACAAAUAAUCAAUUAAUUAAUGCAAACAUUAAUGAAAAUAAAGGUUGGGCACGGGAAUUUUAUGAUAAUAUUAUAGUUAAAUAUGUGUCAAAAGUGGUGGUGGAGGCUGCCACCAUUAUUAUUUCAACCAUGUUUAUUAUUUUUCUUUCACAUUCCGGAACAUAUAUGGUCAAGGAUGUGAAAAAAUCCUAUAAAUCAUCUUAUGAUGUUUAUAUUUUUUGGGCUUUUAUAUGUUUAGGAUUUUAUUCCGCUGUUAUGAUGCUAUUAUGUGAAUCAGGGUUUGGAUUUGUUAUCAUGAUGGGAAUAUGUAUCGAGCUGUCUGUCAAUAUUGGCCAUGAAAUCAAUGACCAAUAUGACUACCCAUUUUACUUAGCAAUUUCCGUUGGUCUCUGUCUGUUUAUAGCCAGAGCUACAAUCCAUUACUGGUAUAAUGAGAGGCCAGAGAUAAAAGAGCGGGAGCCUGCAGUCCCACAGAGGGGACUAAAUGCUUGACAGAGGAAUAGCGAAGGCCAAGAAAAUUUAUUUAUGUAUUUUUCAUUUUAAUUUAACAGUAACUUUGUUAAUGUAUUCUGUUCAUCGGAUAAUAUUUAGUUUUUAGUAUGUUAAUUCAGUACUGUACUAUUGUUGUUGAAUAUUUAUUUAGUUUAAUUCAAUCAGAAGUGCCAAUAUAGAGGCUUCAUGAAUUCGAGUAUUACAGCACUAUGGACUCUGUAAGAUGUUUAUGUAUUUAGUUUUAACUCUUUAACCUUGUGGUUUGGAAAUACAGAGGCUUUUCUGAGAUUUGUUAUAUGGAAAGUCAAUUUUAGUUCAAAAAUAAAUCAGAGAUGGAUGAGCUCGAAGGAGACUUGCCGGAGGGAGCUUCCGCUGCCACUCGCCAAGUAAGCGAUCGCUGCCUUUACGCUGCUUCCAAAUGGUAACCUCUACUUUUCUCCUCUCCGGAAACCUGAUUGUAUAAAAACAAAAAGAAAACCCCCUUUUCGUUUUACUUUUUAUGCUGCUGUUGUUUCCGAUCUGGUUUUGUAUUUAUGUCUAUCUGUGUUUUUAUUUUAGGGCAGGGGAGCAGCUGUUGUGAAUCGAGCAAGACCCUGCAAAGUUCACUCCUACAAACACCAUUCCAGCGUGGAAGUUGUAGCAUUCGUCGAAGAAUAUUCCGAACCAGUGACGUUACCUCUACCGCCUGUUACCGGCAUGUCUAUGCAUCCACUUCCGUAUUGGAGGAAGAUGAUGUCAAAAGAUGGCGACUUCUACCUUCUGGCCAAGUCCUACCUUGACUGUCGAGAGCAUAAAAGGGCUGCUCAUGUGCUUCGCUAUUGUCAUUGCUAGCCAACUGUGAAUUUUUUUUUUUUUUUGCGUAAAUUAUGGUAUAUUUCCUACUUUUAUUCAAUUGGAUCCUUCAUGGAGCAAUCAAUGAAACUUGAUGGUUACAUUUUUUUUAAGGUGCUAGGGAGAUGGUCUAGGAUGAAACUUGAACCCAAAUUUUAUUUCCUUUAUAUGCUUUUUACGAGAGAAAUACCCUGCUUGACUGGUGUUAAUAAUCACAUGCUGUGUCUGGAAAUUUGAUCAAUAUGAACCUAGAAUGAGGAUUAAUGAAACAGUUUUUAAUUUGUCAAUCAAGCUCAUAGCAUCUUAAUUAUAAACUUAAAGAAAGGUUUAGCUAGAUGGUACACUAAUUAGGUGGUUACAACACCAUAAUACUGCCUGUCCAAUAAAGAUACUAGUCAUAAUACUGAGGAAAUUUGGAAUCUAUGACGUCCAAGAUUAAAUUAAUCAAAUUACAUGGGGGUAAUGCUUAAGAUUCAUACGAAUCAUUUUAUACAGGAAUAAAAUUAAAAGAACUGUCUCUGACUCUCUGUUGUCUACCAUGAUUUUUUCUGGGCAACAAUCACCAUGAAUUUCGGGGACCAGUUCUCAUCCAAGAAUUACUUGCAGGCCUCAGAAAAACACAAUUGUAUUUACACUAGAAAACCAUAUAUACUUUGAGGAAGCUGGUCAGGAACGAAGUGUAGCAGAGAUCAGAAUAUCUUGAUAAUAUUGUCAGAUUCCAAACUGUGAUUCGCUCUACACAGGAAAACAAAUGCAUUCCGUAAGCAAAACAUGUAAUUUAAUAGCACAACAAGGAGCAGUGUAAGCAAUGCAACAAAAAAAGAAGAUAGUUUUAAAAUUAAAAACAGUUUACUCGGUAAAAACAACUUAUUUGUUAAAAUCAUAGGUAUAAGUUCCGGCUGAACAAGUCACAGAUUGCCACGAUCAACCCUUGGAUAAAUGGGUUAAAUAGAUGUAUUGGAAUAUUAUUUUUUAAUUCGUCCACAAUAGGUGUAUUAAGUGUUUUUUUUUAAUUAGUCCAAAAUAAUGUGGAUUUGAAAGUUAAAAAAAAAAAGUUAGUUUGAAAAAAAAUUAAAAAAUAUUAUUUACAAGGUCUUGCCUAACUUUUAAUCGGUUGCUUGAAAUUGGCUUCAUCAACUUUAAAACAAACUCAAUUUGAGUCGAAUUUCAGGUCGUUAGGUUUACGAGUCAACUCAUUAUAUUAAUUACUUAGCUUAAAACAUGUUACUCAUGCCCAAAUCAACAAAAUAAUUAUGAUUAUAGCAUAUCCUUCAAAGUCUGAAAGAAGUACCUGCUGGAAAUAAUUAUCUGAUCAGGCUUUCAAAGUCUUCUAUCAACCUUGCAUGUUAUUAAAAUUUCUAUCUUUUUUUCUAUAAUUUUUUUUUUCAUAUUAUUUGUCGUUUUGUUUUUCAAUUCUUGAAAUAAAAAAAAUUAUUUAUUCUGAAUGUUUUUAAUUUAAAAAAAUAAAAUUGAUAUAAUCCUUGAGAUUGACUAUCCUUAUACCUUCAAAAAUUUCACCAAAAAGUUCACCAGUUCUUAUAUUUUUUAAAAUAUAAAAUAGUAAUGAAACGAUAUCAAAUAAUCACAAAUUUAGUAAUAUAUAUUUAUAAUAAUGGAGUCUUAUUGGAAAUAAAUAAUUCUAAUUAAUUAAUUAAAAAAAAACAGAAUACUAGAAGCAGAAAUAAAUAUAGAAUGGUAAAUGAAGUGGAAGAUGCUAGUAAGCCAGUGAGAUAACAAUACACUAGGAGCACCACGACAUAUCCAAGUUAAAACUUAAGAACGAAAUUCGGCAAAGAUUACGAGCAAUCUCGUCCAAGCAAUUGCACAGAAAACUACCUUGGUGAUUUACUUGGAGUCAAAAAGGUGAUUUGCUCGAUGUACAAGGUAUUCUACGGUGAAAACGUAGAGGUAUUAAAAUAUGAUAUAAGUAACCAAAGAACAAAUAAGUAGUCCAAAGAAGGAUUUUCUCCUCCUCAGAACGUCGAAAGGAUUUGGGGACACGCGGAAUUGGACAUGGGGGGCUGCCAUUGCAUGCGGUGGUUCAAGUUUUGCCUUUGAGCCGUUACAACUUUACCAUAUAAUUACAGGGACUCUGAUUGCUACAUAGUCUGAUUCUGCAAGGCAGAGUACAAUUUAUAAAAAAGCUUGCCAUUUACAAUACCAUAUUUAUUUCUGUUUUUAGUGUUCUUUCCAUCUUUUAAAUGUUAAUUAAUUAGAAUUAUUUAUUUUCAAUACGACUCCAUUAUUAUAAAUAUAUAUUACUAAAUUUGUAACUACUAUUUUAUAUUUUUAAAAAAUAUAAGAACUAUGUUGAAAUUUUUGAAGGUAAGCAUACUCAAUCUCAAGGAUUAUAUCAAUUUUAUUUUUUUAAAUUAAAAAAUUCAGAAUAAAUAUUUUUUUUAUUUUAAAUAAUUGAAAAACAAAACCACAAAUAAUAUGAAAUAUUUUUUUUUUCUAGGAAAAAAAUGUUUAAGGAGUUGAUCAUGUCAAUUCCGAGUGACCCGGUUAAAAGUCAAGUAAGACCUGGCCAAUAAUAUUUUUAUUUUUUGUUUUUCAUAUGUUCCGGCCCUGGCUAGCCAUUAAAGAUGGGCCAUAACAGACCCCGACCCAGAAAAGGAAUAACCGAGUAAUUAAUUUUUAUGAAUUGUCCACAUUCUGCAUGCAAGGAAAUUAUGGGAAUGGACAAGACAGAGAGGGAGGAUUACCUAGGCGAGGGAGCGUUGCUGUCAUUGCUGGCGGCAACUCGUGGCGGCUGAGUAGUGACUGUUAUGCUGCGUUCAGUGGCUCGCGAUGGUUGGUGGAGAACCUUGUAAACCCCGGUGUGUGUGUAUAUAUAUACAACUUGUCUAGAAAUUCUUUUCUUGGCCGGCUGUACACUCCCUCUUUUCUUUUCUUUUCUUUUUUCAUUGCUGGCAGCUUAUAAAAAGGGCUGUUGUGGGAAAAGUUUCAAUUUGGUCCUUAAAGAAUUUCUAGACACUCAUUUGUGCUAUUUGUUCUUUUAUCUGAAAAAAAUUAUUAUCAUACUCUAAAAAUUCUGAAACUUUAGCCUAGGUUAAAAUAAUAUUUUAUAAGAUUCCAUGCAAAAUUUUAACUUAAUCUGAUGACCAGAUUUAGAGUUACGUGCUAUAACGUAAAAUUAGCCGGUUUGUAAUUUUUCAUCAAAAAUUCAAAUUUUUAUAUUUCAUACUUGUACAACAAGUUGUAUCAAUUAAUUUACUCAAUUCUCGAGACCACUUUUUUUCUCAUAUAUAUAUAUAUAUAUAUAUGAGAAAAAAAGUGGUCUCGAGAAUUGAGUAAAUUAAUUGAUACAACUUGUUGUACAAGUAUGAAAUAUAAAAAUUUGAAUUUUUGAUGAAAAAUUACAAACCGGCUAAUUUUACGUUAUAGCACGUAACUCUAAAUCUGGUCAUCAGAUUAAGUUAAAAUUUUGCAUGGAAUCUUAUAAAAUAUUAUUUUAACCUAGGCUAAAGUUUCAGAAUUUUUAGAGUAUGAUAAUAAUUUUUUUCAGAUAAAAGAACAAAUAGCACAAAUGAGUGUCUAGAAAUUCUUUAAGGACCAAAUUGAAACUUUUCCCACAACAGCCCUUUUUAUAAGCUGCCAGCAAUGAAAAAAGAAAAGAAAAGAAAAGAGGGAGUGUACAGCCGGCCAAGAAAAGAAAAUGUGAAAAGAGCGCUUUUGUUAUUUUUCAUGGAAAUUGCUUGAAAAAUAAAAAACAAAGUGUAAGAUAGAAAGAGUGUUAAGUAAUUAAAGAGGGGGUUUGAUACAUUAAGGAGAUUACAAGGAGUUUUAAAAUUUUAAGUGUGUUUUUAGAGACGAAAAAAAAUUGAGCUUAGAGGGAAGUGUGAAGGAAAACUUGGUUCAACUUAUUUUGAGUUUUGAUUCUUCAUUCCUUAAGGGUAAGAAAACUUUCCAUGAUGAUCCAUUGUAUUGUUUUUCAUGUUUGUUAUUGAAUUGAGUAGAAUUGGUAUUAUGUAAAGGUGGGUUAUUAAUGUUAUGAUGGUUUGAAUGCAUGUAUUUAUGUUGAUUACAUGUUUAUUGAAAGAAUAAAUGUUUGGGCUUGUCAUUAAUUAGGUUUGUUGUUACCCAAUUUUUGACCCACCUUUUUAAUAAAAUUUUCGAAAAAUCCAAAAAUAGUGAAAAACAACAAAAAUCCAAAAAUAUAUUUUUAAUAUAUUUGCAUCGUUUUUAGCAUUUUCAACGUCGUCUAAAAAAGAAUUUAAAUUUUCAAAGGUUUUUGGAACGCGUUCGACUUUUCACGCGUCAUUUUUAAAAUCAUUGAUUUUCCUCAUCGAGUCGACGUUGAUAUUGCUCGUUUUCCAAAAAAACAAGAAAAAUAAAAAAAAAAAUUUUAAAAAAAAAGAAAGUUAAGGGACCAAUUUUGAGGAAAAAAAAAUUAAUUAAAAAAAAUAUUUUUUGCCCUUUUUUUUCGGCUGAAAAUCAGGGACUCAACCCCACUUAGUGGGUCUUGAUUUCCUUGUUUCCAGCCGACAAUGGAGGCCCUCCUCAUGAGGAGAACCCCUAUUUCUUCUCAUCAGAUUCUUGACACCAGGGGAGGGGGAUUUGAAUUUUUUUAAGGGUCCCGAGAGCAGGGGGCAGAGACCCGGAGUCCCUCACCUGCAAAAGGCCAACACUCCCUCAUCAGAGCUGUCACUCCAAGCCACAGCCGCACCCCACCCUUGACAUUUUUUUUUUUCUUUCUUCUUUCGAAACCAGCCAAACAGCCUGCACCUCCCAGACUGAUUUUUUUCUGACAGACCCGACCAAAGGUUCUGCUCCCUCACCAGCACAACCCCGGACCCGGCAUCUCCCUCAGCCUAAACAGACCCGCCAUCCCCUGUUCCCUUGAUUUUUUUCUUCCCCCCUCUGCACCGGCCAAACACCGCCAGCCCCCCACCGGAUUUUUUUUUUCUUCUUCCUCUCCCCAUCGGCUCACCACAAGAGAGAGCAGCGCCCCUUUUCUUCUUCUUUUUUUCUCUCCCAGCCGCUCACGACAACACUCCACAGCAGCAUCCCCCACCAGAUUAUUUUUUUAUUCUUCCUUCCCCACCGACGAUCCCACUGCCAGCCUCUUCUCCGACGCCGCCCCCCUCACAAAUCAACCACAGCCGCCUUCCUUCUCCUCCACAGAAACCGAACAUCCCCUCUCUAUUUUCGCUCAUUUUUUCGACAGACCCGACCCAGCCUCCUCUCCUUCAGCCGACCUCCAGCAGCGGCAGCUUCUGCUCACAGCCGACGGACCCACCUCCUCUCCACCGACCAGGGAACAGGCAGGGCUGUUCCCAUCGCCUCAGACCCAAGGUCUCUUUCUCCGGGCAGCAGCAACGGCUCCUUCCCCAUCAACGGUGCCAGUUUCCCCUUUGAUCUCUUCCACAACAACCGGCCGGCAGCAGUUGUCAUCGCCUCCCACAGCGGCUGACACGGCAGGCUACACAGAAGCCGCCGACCAACAGCCACUCUGAAGCAGAUUUGCCACCGGGGAAGGAGAAAGUAGCAACGGGCAAAAGAAAAAAUUUAAAAGCAGAUCUAAAAAACAACUAAAAUCGACUGUUGUGGUUAUUUUGAAUGUGGUUGCAGGUGAUUGGUGUUCCUCACAAGCAGUAGGGAAGAGGAGGGGUGAAGAAGCUGAUCCAGAUCGUCCACCUUGCGUUCUUCUUCCUGCGGCGGCGCGUGAACCACGCGCCGCCAGUGAUGGUGGCGCGUGCAUAGGACGCGCCACCACUGUUCCUGGUGUCCAUGUCUUCGCAGAAACGUUCCCAACAGAUUUUAUGAUGUUUUAGAGUUUUUUAGCACUGUUUCGGGUCAUUGUGUAAUUUCAAAUUUGUUUAGUGUAAUGUAUGUUUAUUUUGAAUUUUUUAUUUGUAUUUUGUAAUGAGAUGUACAAAAAGAAAAAAAAAGAAAAGGAAAAUAGAAGAAAAGAAAAGAAAAAGAAAAAUAAAUAAGAAAAAGAAAUGUUUGUGUGUGCUUGUUUAUUUUGAAUUUUAUUUGUAUUUUGUAAUGAGAUGUACAAAAAGAACAAAAAAAAAAAGAAAAUAGAAGAAAAGAAAAAUAAAUAAGAAAAAGAAAUGUUUGUGUGUGCUUGUAAUUUUUUUUGUAUUGUUAUUAAAUAAAAAAAAAAGGGAAUUUAAUUUAUAUGCACAAAUAUCUUAAGGAUAGAUAAAAAUCAUGUUGAAUUUUCCAUGAAAAUGUAGAACAUGUAUCUACAUAUAGUCUGGAAAAGUAAUAACUGAUUUAUCAAAGCCUUAGAAUUGGGCUAAAAUUUUAUUUUUAAUAUCACAUCAAGUCCACGAAGCUUGAAAGUGAAUGUGGUGUGUAUGUUUUUUUUUAUGAUAAAAUUGCCAGAAUAAAGAAGAAUUUAAUAUUCCGAUUUAAUCACGGAUAAAGAAUCAUGAACUUACAUGUAAGUUGUAUUUUCUAAAAUUCGAUGAAAGAACAGAAUUUUUAAAAAUUCUUUAACACAUCAAGUCCACAAAGCAGCUUACCACAGGUAGGGUGCGUUAGGGGUGCUAAUACCUUCCCUAACCACAACCAGUCCCUUACCCGCGAUCUUUGACAAGACCAGUACAUCAGGUUUCCUAGUAGCCCUCAAUGAAUUACUAGGUGGCGACUCCAAAGAACCAAAUCAGCAAAACAGAACGAAAAAUCGCCAGCCGAUGCCGCGCGCCAGGAUUUUUUUUUUGGGGUGCGACAGAAUGGCGACUCCGCUGGGGAAGGUAUUGUUUUCAACAUUAUUGGACUAAGCUUUGUAUAUUUGAUGUGUUUAUAUUUUUGCAUUUUUGUCUUAUUUCAUUUUUUUACUCAUGCAUUUUGUAGAAUUGUUUCAUGCAUCACAUAUUGUAAUUUUUUAAAGCACACACCAGCUUCAGGUUAAGAGGGGGACUAGCAGCUUACCUUACGACUUUUAGUCAAGGUUUAAGUUUGUGUAAACCCCAACUCUUCGUUGAGUGCUUAGACUGGUAAUAGUUGGACACGUGCCAUCUCAUUGCCUACAAGCCCCCAUAUUGCCUCCAUGAGGGCGAUCACUGGGACAACGAGAGCCCCUUUUUAGAGACCAAAUAGUAAACCGACCUUUUGUCUCACUUAAAAAGAUUAGAACCUGCCUGUAGGAUGUAUGCUCCGUAAAUAUUUGUUUUGCAUCCGAGCAAGCCCUUCUUGAAGCAUCUUGAACUCCAGACUUAUGGGUGACACAAUGACCGUCGCUCAGAAAAUUUUCAUUGUAGAGUUUGUGCAAGAAUCAAGAUUCUUGUUUCAUCAUACAAGAGUUGCGAUCAUAUGUCACCCCUCGAAGGGCGAGUUCGUCAUAUAGAUUACAUAUUCAUACAUUUAUCAUGCAUGUACCGGGUUGAAAGGUAGGUCCCCUGCACAAGCUGUGCUGCACGUGAUUGAAGAAAAAUGAUAGAGGUGAAGAAAGGUGUCAGAUAGAGGUGAAGAAAGGGUGUCAGAUAGAGGAUCAUUAUCAGAUUGAGGUUGAGAGCAUCAAAGGUGAAGUAGCUAGACUCAGAUCUGCUCGAACAAGUGUUGAGCAUCAAAGGGAAAGAGAAUGUCUGCACAGUCUUCUGUGGGAACACUGCUUGUCCACGUCCAAUUGAAGUUGUCUCUCCUUUUCAGUCAUGAACAACAGCAACAAUGCCUUCAGUCAUCAACUAAUGACAACUCUGAUUCAUGUCCAGUUGCACUCUUAAGUGUUAAUGCCUCCACAUCAUCUAAUGGAACCAAACGACUACUAGCCUCCUGUUCAUGGUGCAUUAGUCUGCUUUGAAGUUACCCCAAUAAUGAGCUCAAUUUCAGUUCAGCAGCACAAGAUGUUGGUCUGAAAAACCAUGAUCAGACACUGAACUUCUACGUGGUAGAGCUCUCUUUGUAGAGAUUUAUUUGUGGAUCUGCCAAUGGGAAAUGCAAAAGGGGAUGUAUUAAUUUCAUAUGCUUUGAAACUUUUUUUUCCACCAGUGGCACGAGCAAAACAUUGUACUCUGCAGAGGAGUCAGGCCUGAUCUGAAAAUAUGAGUAGUACUCGAACUUCAACGUGGCAGAGCUUUCUCUACAAAAAUCUGUUUAUGAUGCUGCAAGUUGAGAGUGCAAGAGAGGAUUUACUAAUUGCAUAUGCUACAAAUAUUUCUCUCAUCAGUUUCAGCACGAAGAAACUGUAGCAUGUUGAAGAGCUAGAUUUGGUUUGAAAAACAUGGAGCAGACAUCAAACUUCAACGUUGCAGAGGUCUCUCAGCAGAAUCUAUUUGUGGAUCCGAAAGUGGGAAAUCCAAGAAGGAAUGCAGUAGUUUCAGAUCAUCUAUGAUUUUCCUCCAACAAUGUCAGUGUUAAAACGCAAAAGUAGAGAGAAGAGACAUGCCUAGACUGAAAAACAUGAAGAAGACUGAAACUUUCACAGAGCAGAACUCCCUCUAUAAGGGGUUGUUUGCUGCACCGUCAGUGAGGAAUCAAAGAGGAAAUAGAGGAGUUUUGGAGUUCAUCAGGUUUCUCUUCCAAUGACAAUAUAUGAUUCCACAUUUUGUUUUUUGCACUGCAUGGAUUACCUAGAUAUUGACGGGUUUCCAACAAUCCUAAAACCACAACAACAUUGGAAGAUUGAAAUGAUGUUGUGAGGAUUUGCCGAAGAAUUGAACAAGCUAUGAAGAGAGGAAAGAUUGAAGGAUCUGCCAUGGAUUCCAGAAAAUGAUGAGAGGUGAAUCAAGGAGAUGACUUUGACGGUGUGAACCCUUAAUUAUGUGGUAUAGCCAGGUCUCACGGUAGCAUCAAUUGCUCAAAUGUCUUUGCCAAGAUGGGACAUUCCUCUGCCGCUUAAGUUUGUCGACCAGCAUCUGCCAGAUUCCAGAAUUUUGCUUGACUCCGACAAAUCCCAUGCAACCACCAUUUUCUAGGUGGUUAAUCCAGAGAGAUGUGAUGUCAUGUGGGGUCCUCAACCAUUUCAAGUGAACAAUUCAAGAAUUGCAAGAAGCGAGUCUGAAAGUUGGUGAGCAAGAGACAGUGGAGUCUUGAAGAAGGGUGUCAUUGGCUAUAUUUCCCCGAACAUCUUCAAAUGACAUGUGAUCGAAAGUGCUUGGCAAAACACAGAUAUUGCCAGAAAAGCUGAUUCAAGAAUGGUGAUGAACAGUCAAUCAUAUUGUUAUGGAAUUCUGCAUUUUGUUUUGGGAUCACAUCUCAUCCUUCAACGAAACAUGCCUUGCUUUUGUCUCUUUGUUGUUUUGAAAUCAACAGAUGUUUAGCAUUUUAUUCUGACAAAAUAUUUUGAUCAAACUCCAACAUGCGAUAAAGGUUAAUCAAUCCGGAAGAUUAAAAGUGUUUUGAUUACAGAAAUGACUAUGCUUGAAAAUGACAUGAGGUGACUAAACAAUUUUGAACUCAUACCUCCUGAAACUGAACCACACAUCAUAUAGCUAAGUUUUACAGUAUGCAUAAUGACAUGUAGUGGAUUCGGUAGUUAUGGACUCGUGAAUCAUGAUUCUUACAAGUCCCAAUCAUUACACUGGAUGAGGUCAAAAUUUAUCGGUUCUAACCGACCUUGCUUGAAAUGAGAAAAGGCCAUCUUUGAUAUCCCUUCACUUUCUAAAGAUUAUAUCCCUUGCAGUCCCAUUUUGAGCCUGGUAAAUAUUUUUUUAAAAAAGAAACCCUGACUAGGAUCACACCCCACACUGGGGCAAAUGAGAGAUAUUUUGGAGACAUUGAUAUAAUUAAUGGAUAAAGGGGAAGGCUUAGAACAAAGGUCCAAUGAUUGAGAGAGAGCUAAAAGAAAACACAUAGACUGGGGGCAUAUAAGAAAUUUUGAGGAAGGCUAUGAAAAAAAGAGAAUGAAAAAAAAGGAAGUUGAAAUUGCCUUCACUUAAAUACAAGUCAAAGAUAAAGGAAGGAGAACGCCUAUCAAGUCUAUGAAGAGCAAAAGAAAUUUCAAUCAAGGAAAGGCACAACAAAAGUCAAUACCAGAAAAAGACUAAGCUAAACGUGACUUUUGUGUCCAUUAUAAAGCCUUGAUGUUAUCAGAUGAUUAAGGUUGGUUAUUCAUCAAGAAAGUGGAUUUGCAUUAUGACUUAUGUUAAGAAAAGUCUGAACUUUGAGGUUAACAAGGUUAUAUGUCGUUUCCUCUACAAAGACAACAAUAGAAAACAAGUUGAUGAAUAUUGAUGUUGAUCCUAGGUCUUUGAAACCCUCAAACACCUUUUGAGCCUUUGAAAUUCCUUUCUUUCAUAGCCAUGAACCAUAGCCUGCAUUACGUGCUUUUAAAAGCCCUUUUUAAUCAAGCAAGCAAUUUGAACCGAUAAAUGGCGCUCUCAAAACUUGAAGAGUUUUUCCAUAAGGGUCGUGACUUCAUGAAUUAAGCUAUUGGUUAUUAUGCAUGCUGAUAAAAAAGUUAUAAGAAGAGAAACAACCUUUCUUGAUAAAGCCUGAGUUUGACUUGAGCUUGUUUUUUGAAAUUCAUCAAAGGUCACCUCAUCAUAGACUAUCAAAUGAUAUACCCAAUAUCAAGGAUUCAAAUUGAUACAAAGAACCAUGGAAAAAGCCAUUUUUAAUCCUACAUUGGGUCAAUUUCUGUUUUCAAAAUGCAUGACAAUCAAAGGACUAUAUAUUUCGAAUAAUGUGUUGGGUCUUUGAUCAAAAAGCUUGAUUUUCAAAAGAUUUUCAAAAAGGACAUCUCUGAUUUCAUUUCAACAAACUAGACUUUGAAUAGACAUGAUCUUUGAAAUAUGAGAGUUGAUUCCAGAACAAGGAAGAUUAUCAAACACAGAAGAACAUUGAUUGAGUGUGCAAAAUCGUUGAUAGAAAUGACAUUGAAGUCCUCGACACUCCUUGAAAAGUUGAGCAGCUGGGGGCAAUACAGUAGACCUUGAAAAGGAAAAACAAGCAGUGCUCAGAUCAGCUAUGAGGCAAUGUUUAAAUGAUGAAUCAGUGAACUGAAGACAAUGAUGUUCAAAGACAGAUAAUCAAUGAACGAGCACAUUCAGAUCAUACUGGGGGCAAUGUCAUUCCAAAAUGGCCCAUGCUCAGUGAACCCUGUCGGCAAUGGAGAAACAAGAUGUACUUGAAGGACACUUUCUAUCAUCAUCUUUUGAAACAUGGCUAGCAAUCGAUGAGAUACAUGAAUGUAAUUGAAUGGUGAAAAGAUGCAUACCACCAAGACUGACUGUGGAACAAUGCUGCACUUAAAGGACAAUCUCAUAUUGUCAUUCUUUGAAACAUGGUUAUGACAGAUGUUAUCACACAACUGCACUGAAUGAAUGUCGGAAAGGCACCCACCUCGAAGACUGACUGUGGGACAAUUUGUUUUGAAGCCAGAUGAGCGCUUCACCACAUGAGUAUGGUGAUAAAAGCAGCAUCAUUGAUGAGGCUGAGACAUUUCUUUUCACAAUCUGAUUAGAAGAGUUGAAAGGAAUCUAUGAGAAGAGCACUGAGCAUACAACCAUGAGCCUUUGUACUGCAAGCUAUGAGAUGCAUGACUGGAUGACUGAAUGAGUUCCAAGAAGGCUGAUGAUAACAUGUACUUGAAGAGUACUGUUUCAACUGGAGGCAAGAUCAUGACUGAUUGACAAUUUUAAUGGGCGUUGGCACGCACAACCAAAUCAAAGGACAAUUCUUGAGAGAAUAUGGGAGAUGAAUGAUUUGUUCCAUUCCUUCAGGAUGAAUCGAGCAACACCACACUUGCAAGCAGGGUCAAAUUUGAUGAACGAUGCGAGCAGUAAUUGUCGAAGACACCCGGGAUGGGCACUGCAUUUACAGCUGAGUGGAUGGCUAGCACAUGAAUGAGCCAAUACAUCGAAAGAACAAGAAAGCUUUGGAAUGCAAACAAGGCACCCUAUGAGAUGGAGCAUCAAAGAGGGGGGGACCUAUAUUUCAAAUCAGGUAAGGAUGCAUGCAUGUCAUCUAACCUAAAAAAAAAAAAAACAUUUGCACAUAUUUUUGAAUUGUUACAGGAAAAUCCUUAAUGAGGUCCAACAAGAUGGUGGAAAAAGAAAGAAGCAUUGUGGUGAUGAUAAUAAAAAAUCAGUUUUGAUCAUGGAAUAAAAGGGAAGAUGGGAUGAACCCUACCAUUAGGGAAAUCCCAAAGAAAUGAAAAGAUCAACCUUGCAAUCGGGAAGCCUCGAGUUUUCAACUCUUGCAGUCAGGAAACACCGAGUUGUCAAAUCCUAUGAUAGGGAAUUAUCAGGAAGCACCAAGUUUUCCAGCCCUUUUUUCUGUCAUCCCCUCAAAGACUUCGCCAGGUAAGUUCUAUUUUUCACACUUGUCAUAUCACAUCUUCCAUUCGGGUUGGUCACCCAUGACAAUGAGACCGUACUUUUCACAUUUUUUCCAUCCGGGUAGGUCACCCAUGAUAAUGAGAGCGCACUUCAUCAUAUUUUUUUUUUCUCCAUCUGGGUAAGUCACCCAUUACAAUGAGACCACACUUUAUAUUUUUUUCCAUUUUUGGGUAGGUCACCCAUUACAAUGAGACCGCACUUCACAUUCUUUCCAUUUAGGUAGGUCACCCAUAACAACGAGACCACUUUUUCAUAUUCUUUCUAUCUGGAUAGGUCACCCAUUACAAUGAGACCGCACUUCACAUUCUUUCCAACUGGGUAGGUCACCCAUUAAGACCGUUUUUUUUCACAUUCUUUUGUUUUGGUUAAAUGAGGUCGCCAGAUGGGAUCUCAUGUAGCUUUGGUUAAAGGGAAUCGCCAGAUGGGAUUUCAGGUUGACCGAGCUACACACAGGAUUUUGGUUCUGGUUAGAGGGGAUUGCCGAAAGGAAUCUCAGUCUAUCCUAACCACACACAGGAUUUUGGUUCUGGUUAGAAGGGAUUGCCGAAAGGACUCUCAGUCUAUCCUAACCACACACAGGAUUUUGGUUCUGGUUGAAGGGGAUCGGCGAAGUGAUCUUAGUUCAGCCCAACAACACAGAGAUUUGGUUCUGGUUGAAGGGGAUCGGCGAAGUGAUCUUAGUUCAGCCCAACCACAAAGGAUUUUGGUUCUGGUUAGAGGGGAUUGCCGAAAGGAAUCUCAGUCUAGCCCAACCCUACACAUUCCUUGGUUAUGGUUAAAGGGGAUCGACGAAGGGAUCUCAGUUUAACCUAAUUGGAAAGGAUUUUGGUUCUGGUUAGAGAGGAUUGCCGAAAGGAAUCUUAGUCUAGCCCAACCCUACACAUUCCUUGGUUAUGGUUAAAGGGGAUCGACGAAGGGAUCUCAAUUUAACCUAAUUGGAAAGGAUUUUGGUUCUGGUUAGAGGGGAUUGCCGAAAGGAAUCUCAGUCUAGCCCAACCCCACACAUUCCUUGGUUAUGGUUAAAGGGGAUCGACGAAGGGAUCUCAGUUUAACCUAAUUGGAAAGGAUUUUGGUUCUGGUUAGAGGGGAUUGCCGAAAGGAAUCUCAGUCUAGCCCAACCCUACACAUUCCUUGGUUAUGGUUAAAGGGGAUCGACGAAGGGAUCUCAGUUUAACCUAAUUGGAAAGGAUUUUGGUUCUGGUUAGAGGGGAUUGCCGAAAGGAAUCUCAGUCUAUCCCAACCCUACACAUUCCUUGGUUAUGGUUAAAGGGGAUCGACGAAGGGAUCUCAGUUUAACCUAAUUGGAAAGGAUUUUGGUUCUGGUUGAAGGGGAUCGGCGAAGGGAUCUCAGUUCAGUCUAACUACACAAUUCCUUGGUUAUGGUUAAAGGGGAUCGGCAAAGGGAUCUCAGUUUAACCUAAUUGGAAAGGAUUUUGGUUCUGGUUGAAGGGGAUCGGCGAAGGGAUCUCAGUUCAGUCUAACCACACAGACCUUGGUUAUGGUAAAAGGGGAUCGCGAAGGGAUCUCAAUUUAGCCUAAUCACACAGAAUCACUAGAUGAGAUUUCAGGUUGAUCGAGCUACACACCGAUUUUUAUUCUUGUUAGAUCGUCAGAUGGGAUCUCAGGUAAACCCAAUCAAAAGGGAAGGUCGCCCGUGAAAAUAGACCAGUGUGAGUGUGUGGGCAGGUCGCCCCUGAAAAUAGACCAGUGUGAGAGUGUGGGUUGGUCGCCCCUAAAAAUAGACCAGAGUGAGUAUGUGUGGGCAGGUCGCCCCUGAAAGUAGACCAGUGUGAUUUUGUGGGCUAGUCGCCCCUGAAAAUAGACCACUUUUCUUCAAAAAAGGCAUGUCGCCCAAGAUAAUAAGAUCAUUUUCUUUUUCUAUUCUUUACAAAGCUUACUAUGCAAAACAUUGAGGAGUUUUGCUUCGUAAGCAUUGUAAAGAGGGGGCAUCUGUUGUUACCCAAUUUUUGACCCACCUUUUUAAUAAAUUUUUCGAAAAAUCUAAAAAUAGUGAAAAACAACAAAAAUCCAAAAAUAUAUUUUUAAUAUAUUUGCAUCGUUUUUAGCAUUUUCAACAUAGUCUAAAAAAGAAUUUAAAUUUUCAAAGGUUUUUGGAACGCGUUCGACUUUUCACGCGUCAUUUUUAAAAUCAUUGAUUUUCCUCAUCGAGUCGACGUUGAUAUUGCUCGUUUUCCAAAAAAACAAGAAAAAUAAAAAAAAAAAUUUAAAAAAAAAGAAAGUUAAGGGACCAAUUUUGAGGAAAAAAAAAUUAAUUAAAAAAAAAUAUUUUUUGCCCUCUUUUUCGGCUGAAAAUCAGGGACUCAACCCCACUUAGUGGGUCUUGAUUUCCUUGUUUCCAGCCGACAAUGGAGGCCCCUCCUCAUGAGGAGAACCCCUAUUUCUUCUCAUCAGAUUCUUGACACCAGGGGAGGGGGGAUUUGAAUUUUUUUAGGGGUCCCGAGAGCAGGGGGCAGAGACCCACGGAGUCCCUCACCUGCAAAAAGCCAACACUCCCUCAUCAGAGCUGUCACUCCAAGCCACAGCCGCCCCCCACCCUUGACAUUUUUUUUUUCUUUCUUCUUUCGAAACCAGCCAAACAGCCUGCACCUCCCAGACUUGAUUUUUUUCUGACAGACCCGACCAAAGGUUCUGCUCCCUCACCAGCACAACCCCGGACCCGGCAUCUCCCUCAGCCUAAACAGACCCGCCAUCCCCUGUUUCCCUUGAUUUUUUUCUUCCCCACUCUGCACCGGCCAAACACCGCCAGCCCCCCACCGGAUUUUUUUUUUCUUCUUCCUCUCCCCAUCGGCUCACCACAAGAGAGAGCAGCGCCCCUUUUCUUCUUUUUUUCUCUCCCAGCCGCUCACGACAACACUCCACAGCAGCACCCCCCACCGGAUUUUUUUUUUAUUCUUCCUUCCCCUCCGACGAUCCCACUGCCAGCCUCUUCUCCAGCGCCGCCCCCCUCACAAAUCAACCACAGCCGCCUUCCUUCUCCUCCACAGAAACCGAACAGCCCCUCUCUAUUUUCGCUCAUUUUUUCGAAAGACCUGACCCAGCCUCCUCUCCUUCAGCCGACCUCCAGCAGCGGCAGCUUCUGCUCACAGCCGACAGACCCACCUCCUCUCCACCGACCAGGGAACGGGCAGGGCUGUUCCCAUCGCCUCAGACCCAAGGUCUCUUUCUCUGGGCAGCAGCAACGGCUCCUUCCCCAUCAACGGUGCUAGUUUCCCCUUUGAUCUCUUCCACAACAACCGGCCGGCAGCAGUUGUCAUCGCCUCCCACAGCGGCUGACACGGCAGGCUACACAGAAGCCGCCGACCAACAGCCACUCUGAAGCAGAUCUGCCACCGGGGAAGGAGAAAGUAGCAACGGGCAGAAGAAAAAAUUUAAAAGCAGAUCUAAAAAACAACUAAAAUCGACUGUUGUGGUUAUUUUGAUUGUGGUUGCAAGUGAUUGGUGUUCCUCACAAGCAGUAGGGAAGAGGAGGGGUGAAGAAGCUGAUCCAGAUCGUCCACCUUGCGUUCUUCUUCCUGCGGCGGCGCGUGGCGCCAGUGACGGUGGUGCGUGCACAGGACGCGCCGCCACUGUUCCUGGUGUCCAUGUCUUCGCAGAAACGUUCCCAGCAGAUUCUAUGAUGUUUUAGAGUUUUUUAGCACUGUUUCGGGUCAUUGUGUAAUUUCAAAUUUGUUUAGUGUAAUGUAUGUUUAUUUUGAAUUUUUUAUUUGUAUUUUGUAAUGAGAUGUACAAAAAGAAAAAAAAAGAAAAGGAAAAUAGAAGAAAAGAAAAGAAAAAGAAAAAUAAAUAAGAAAAAGAAAUGUUUGUGUGUGCUUGUUUAUUUUGAAUUUUUAUUUGUAUUUUGUAAUGAGAUGUACAAAAAGAACAAAAAAAAAAAGAAAAAAUAGAAGAAAAGAAAAAUAAAUAAGAAAAAGAAAUGUUUGUGUGUGCUUGUAAUUUUUUUUUUUAUGUAUUGUUAUUAAAUAAAAAAAAAAGGGAAUUUAAUUUAUAUGCACAAAUAUCUUAAGGAUAGAUAAAAAUCAUGUUGAAUUUUCCAUGAAAAUGUAGAACAUGUAUCUACAUAUAGUUUGGAAAAGUAAUAACUGAUUUAUCAAAGCCUUAGAAUUGGGCUAAAAUUUUAUUUUUAAUAUCACAUCAAGUCCACGAAGCUUGAAAGUGAAUGUGGUGUGUAUGUUUUUUUUUAUGAUAAAAUUGCCAGAAUAAAGAAGAAUUUAAUAUUCCGAUUUAAUCACGGAUAAAGAAUCAUGAACUUACAUGUAAGUUGUAUUUCUAAAAUUCGAUGAAAGAACAGAAUUUUUAAAACUUCUUUAACACAUCAAGUCCACAAAGCAGCCUACCUUAGGUAGGGUGCGUUAGGGGUGCUAAUACCUUCCCUAACCACAACCAGUCCCUUACCCGCGAUCUCUGACAAGACCAGUACAUCAGGUUUCCUAGUAGCCCUCAAUGAAUUACUAGGUGGCGACUCCAAAGAACCAAAUCAGCAAAACAGAACGAAAAAUCGCCAGCCGAUGCCGCGCGCCAGGAUUUUUUUUUUUGGGUGCGACAAGGUUAAUUUGAAAAAAAAAUGUAUUUCUUCAUCUUAGUAAUGGGAAUUUGGCCAAGGGUGGAUUUUUGAGGUGAUUAGGUUGUUGAGUUAAUGACAAACAAAUUAUAUUUAGUUAUGAUAAUUGAGUAUUUGGUGAUUGAAGAAUGUGUAAAAAAAAAAAAAGAGAAAAGAAGGAGGGGGAUAAAAAAUUGUUUCUACCUUGGGUUUGCUAUUGAUCCCUUGUUAUGUUUUAAGUAAAUAUGAUCUUAUUGUAUUGAUUAGUAAAAUUCCAUACAUGUUAUGUGUGAUUAUGGAACUCUUAGAAAGGUGAAUUUGGCCAUGGAAAAUAUAAAAAAUAAAAUUUCAAGCUUGAAAAAAUUAAUGAAUUGUAUUUAAAUAGUGGAAGAAAAAUAUAAUGAAAUGAUGUGUUGUAUUAGGUGUAAAUGAAUUAAAUUUCCUUUAAUUGUUGGGAAAAGUUUUAUAGUGAUAUAAGAUCCCUUUAUAAUUGUGGUGAAUUAAAAGUUUAAGUGGAUGUAGCAUUGUAUGAAUUAUUUUUGGAAUUAUUAAAGAACAUGAAACUAUGUUAGAAUAAUCAAUAGUUUCGGAUGUUAAAAAUAUAUUGAUUGAAAAUCUUAAUAUGUGAUAAAGUUGUAAGAAAAUUAUUGGGUGAUGAAAUAUUGAAAUCAUAAGUUUUUUCAAAUGAAACAGGAGAGGUUGGAGGAUCUAGACAGCAAUAGGGGGUUACUAGUCGAGCGUCACCAGCAGGUAGGUAUCUGACAUCUUCAAUUUUUGUAGAAAGAUUAGUGGAAAAACUUGUGUUAAUUUUAAUUAGAAAUUUUGUAAUUUAUGUUUGAUGUUAAGGGAUGAACAUAUUUGGGUGGAUGAAUUAAUGUCCGGUAAUUAGACAGAUGAAUUGGUACUGGUAAUUGGGCGGAUGAUUUAAUGUCCGGUAAUUGGAUGAGUGAAUUAAUGCUUGGUAAUUGGGCGAAUGAAUUAGUACCGUUAAUUGGGUGAGUGAAUUAAGGCCCUGUAAUUAGGCGGAUGAUUAGUAUUGGUAAUUGGGCGAGGCAUGAAGGCGAGUGAAUUAAUGCCCGAUAAUUAGGUGGCUGAAUUAGUACCAGUAAUUGGACGGAUGAAUUAAUGCUUGGUAAUUGGGCAGGUGAAUUGAUGUCUGGUAAUUGAGCGAGUGAAUUAAUGCCAGUAAUUGGACGGAUGAAUUAAUACUGGUAAUUGGACGAGUGAAUUAAUGCCAGGUAAUUAAAUGAGUGAAUUAGUACUGGUAAUUGGACGGAUGAAUUAAUGCCUGGUAAUUGGGUGGAUGAAUUAAUGCCCGGGUAAUUGGGUGGAUGAAUUAAUGCCUGGGUAAUUAGGCGAGUGAAUUAAUGCCUGGUAAUUGGGUGGAUGAAUUAAUGCCCGAGUAAUUGGGUGAGUGAAUUAAUGCCCGAUAAUUGGACGGAUGAAUUAGUAUCGGUAAUUGAACGAGUGAAUUAAUGCCCUAUAAUUGGAUGGAUGAACUAGUGCCCAAUAUUUGAGCGAAUGAAUUAGUGUCUGUAAUGAGGGAGCAGUACCCCCGUGAAACGACUAAGAUUGGAAUUCAAUUGAAUGAAUAUGGAGGUGUAAGUUAUUAAUGAUUCAUAUUAAAGUAUAUAGAAAAAAAAUAUAUUUUUAUAUAGGUGUAGUGAAAUGAUACUUUCCUUUUACUGAUAAUUAUGUUAAUAAAAUGUUAAUCUUAUUUUCAGGACCCUCACAGCAGUAGAAUAGAUCCUGCUUGAAUAUAUACCACUUUUUGUGUAUUUAUAUUGAUCAACAUGUAUUUUAAAAAUUAUGAAUGAUGUAAAAGAGGUUGAAUGAAUCUUUAUAUUUGUAGAACAAAACUUUUAUAUGUAAUUAAUGUGUAUGCCAUACUUAAGAAUAUCUUUAUGUUAAAUUAAGUAUUUGCAUUCUAUCAUGGUUGUUCGUACGAUUAGAAUGUUGGGAUGAUAAAAUAAUGGGGGUGUUACAUUCAUAAUCUAAGUUUUUAUUGUAGUUUUUGGAAUUAUUUGAUUAUGAAAGUUAAGAAAACUUUAGAAUUGUUUAUUUUUUUUUAUUAUUAUUACUAUUAUUGAUUGCAUCUUGAUUAUCGGACAAUACCUUCUCUUUUUUUGAUGCAUUGUUUGGGAAAGAGGUCCAAGAUGAUUUGACCAUGAUUAUGAUAUGAGUUGUGUCAGAAAUGAAGAUGGCAAUAACUUGGUAUGGUCCCGUUAUAAGGAAAACUCUGUUGAAUUUUUAGUAAUAAAAAAAAAUUACAUCGCAUAGAAUUUUACACUUUUAAAUAAUUAUGUUUUUUUUUUUGUUGUGACAUGUUUCAACAGUGCUAGAAGGAGAGAGGAAAGUUUUGCAGAGGAGAGAGAGAGGCGGUGCAGAUGGCGUGGAUGUCUGGGUGGCUGCUUGUCAUGGACGCGAUGGCGUGUCCUGCUGUCGACGACUGUGGUCGAGAGGGAGAGAAGGAGGAGAUGCAAGGGAAAUUCUCCUCUCUUUUUUUUUGUGGUUCUUUUUCUUUCUCUGUUUUUUUGUCCCCCAUUGUCUUCCUUUUCUGCUCUAUUUAUAGGGAAGGGAGAGUGUUGGAGGCAACCCAUGGCAUGCGCAAGGUCGCCGGUCGACCACCUUGCAGCUGCUCCAAGGCCGCUGCUUUAGGCCAUGCCUUCUUGUUCUUUUGUUUUUUCUUUCUUUCCUUUUCUUCUCCUAAAAAAAUGGUUGGGUGAGGACCUAGGGGGGAGAGAGAGAUAAGGGAGGGAAAGGCGGGGCAGAAAAUUCUUCUCCUACUCUGGAAACCAGAGGCGGGGAAGAAAAUGACAAACAGUGCCCUCGAAACAACACCAUUUUCAACGACUCUCUUUUUUUAAAAUAAAACGGCGUCGUUUUUCUAAAAACAUGCCAUUUCAUUUAGAAGAAAUGGCGCCAAAUCUGCUUAUUUUCAAAUCAUUCCUCAAGUUGCAAUUUAUGGACUUGGGUCCUCAAUUGAGGUUUUGAUUUUAAGAAUCAAUUCAAUUGCAUCCUUACCAAACUCAAAUGCCAGCCCUAUAAUUGGUCGCUUAUUUCACACUGGUCCUUAUUCUCGGAUUGCUUCGAUUUAAUUCCUAAUUGACUCAAAACUGUCAAUUAACUUUAAUUUCACCCCCAUAGUUCAGCAUCUUGUACUGAUUGGUCCUUGGCUGUGAAAUUAUUCAAUUUAACCCAUAAUUGACCACAAAACUUUAAUUUACUUGCAAUUGUACCCUUGAUUUGAACCAAUCACUUGUGAAAAAUUAAAUUUGAACUCUUAAAAUUUCAAUCUUCUUAAUUAAACUCAAAUUGGACUCCCAAACUUAAUUUUUCACCAAUUAAGGUCCUAACAAAUUUAAUUUGACCAUUUUAAAGUAUAAUUAAGUCAUUGCACUUAAUUAAAUAUUUUAAUUGGACCCAAAAUAAUUCUUAAAUGUAAUUAAAUUUUAAUUUAGCCUAUGAUUAAAUCAAAUUGAUCUAUUAAAAAUUUAAUUACAUUCUUAGGCAUAAUUUUUGUAUAAAUUUAUUCAAUAAUCAUUUAAUUUGAUCUUGAUUUUGCAUUGCUUCUCCAUUUUUAGGCAUAAUAAAAUACAAUUAGUUUCCUAACAUAGUCUGAAAUUGCAACUUGAUCUUAUGCAGCUGAAAUCUUCCGCGGCUUCCUUUCUCAAUAUUACCAUCGCGCUGUAUGAUCAAGGCAUAUCUCAAAUUCUUCAGCUGUUAUGUCUCGCAAAAACUAAUUUGUCAAACUAAUCCAAAACCACAAACCCUUCCAUUUGAAUCGUUUAGAUGUAUUAGUCAGCAAUUUUCUAAUCUCACCAAUCAAGACAAAAAAAAAAACAUUUAAAAAGGGGAAUUUGGACAUUUACAAAGGGAUUUGUCAUCUCUGAUCAAGGGAUUAAAUUAAAACCUUUAUCAAAAUAGGGACUAAAUCAUAAUUUACUAAACUAUGGAGGACAUAAACGUGAUUCAAUCUUCACAACAAGAAGCGAAACUCUAAAUAUUUUCCAGAACCGGAGAAAUUUUCUCCUCCUAUCCGAUCAUUUUCCUGUCGUUAAUCACCGGUGGAAAUCGCCAAGGUUUAGCUUAGAAAAGUCUCUCCCUCUCUUUCUUUUCUACCUGGGUUUCUACGAUCGUAAACCUCAAGCAUCACUUGAGGUAGAGAAAGCUCCAACUCCAAGAAUUAUGAAUUUGUUGCUUGGCUUAAAGUCUCUUAGUUAAUACCCUUAACCUGUUUGACAAAAUGUCCCAAUGAAACUAUUUUUAAUAAUAUUAGCUAAGAAUUGAUACUUUUAAGCUUAAACACAAACGCACAAAAGGGUUCUAAAAAAUCUUGUUAUUUUUUAGGCACUUAUCUUUGAUGUUUUUAGGAGGAGAGGAACUGUCAAAGUGUUGCAAGGGGCUUGCACUGGAACUGGUCAAGUGUCUCAGUGAAUCCGAUUGUAUUAAGGUUCUGCAUUCUUUACCAAAAUGAUGUUUUUAUUUUUAAAGGUCUCUCAUUGGUGAAAUACAGUCUUGUUGAGAUUUAUGUUUGUGCUUUAUAUAUGUAGAUUGAGAAUCGACCAUAUAAAGAAUGUGCAGGAGAGAAGUGCCCUUCCAUACCAAGUGAGUGUGUGGGACUUAGAGAAACUUAUUUCAAUUGCAAGAGAGGCCAGGCAUGUUCUUGUUUUUGUCUUCUCUUUAAUUCCAUUUGAUUUCUUUCUAUUUUCUUGUUUGUGGGCCUUUCAAGCAUUCCUUACUUUUAUCGAGACGAUUUUUAAGUUUUCUUUGUGCUCUGAUUGCAAUGAGUUAUAAUUUGAUUCUGAGCUAUGUUGCAUUGAGUUAUGGGUUCUGUUUUCACAUAUUUUUUAACUCAAAAGUUCUAGCAUUACAGUACAAUUAAAGUAUCAGUAGAAGAUUUUGUUGAUUAGAGUAUAGAAGAUUUGAGUAAAGUAAACAGCAGGUGUCGAGUUCAAAUGGUGAUGGUAAAAUCAUGGUGGUUCUGUAUAUAGUUAUCAAACCCGGCUAGGCUUAGCAAGGCGACUUGGUGACUCAACGAACUGGGACUUGCCAAGAUCAGGUUUGUUUUUGAAUUGUUCGGAGAGUUAACUUGAUCAAACUUUGGUCAACCCUGAUCUUAGGACUCUGAUUGUCGAGGAGGCAAGUUUUUGAGCCAUGCUAGAAAAUGACCAGAUUCAUGAUCAUAUACUCGACAAAGAUUAUAAUUUAAUCUCCACAGGGGAAAUGUAGAAAACAGUUUUCACAUUAAUCUGCAUAUAGCUAUCACACUGGUCGCACUUAAACUAUGGACAAUGAAUCAUUAGUGUAUGGGAAUUUUGUUGCAAAGAUCACUGAAAGCAGAUGGCAGUUCAGUUACAAGAACAUAUAAAGCAAAGCCUAGCCCGGAUGCCAUGGAUCACCUUUAUUGUGAAGAAGCAACUGAUACCUUGGAUUCCCAUGAAAUGUUUAGCUGAACUGAAUAAACCGAAAUGUCUGUACUGAAUUAAGUUGGUUUGAUUCGGUUUGAACCUAUAUGUGCUCAACCACUACAGACUAGGGUAAGUUAUGCAAUCAGCCUGGUUGUUGACUAGCAAGGUCAUAGAGCAAUGUAGGGAAGGCAUUGCUUUUCUUUCGCAAGUCUAAGACCCAACGAUAAAAUCAUGG